AACAAAAGAAGACCCAAAGCAGAGAAGCCAGCUGCCCUGUAGCUGCCAAUUUCCUCUCAAAAAACCUGCCAAAGCAUUUCAGAGCCUGGCCCAUUCUAGCCCAUAGCUGAGCCCAGAGGGAGUUGGUUCUUGGUUUAAAUGAUGGCAAAGUGGGAAACAGCUCUGACAGACAAACAUGACAACCUGCCCCAUCUGGAUCAGCACUUCUCACAGGCAUUUUAGUCACCGUAACCAUCUCUUUCCACAUCCUGAAGGAGCCAACUCAAAGACAGCAGAGAGGCCUUGCAAAACAGAGCUGAGAUGCAGUUUGAGUGAACUCAUUUUCAUCUGCCUCUGAACUGCAGCCACUACCUACUCCAGACUUUUCCGAGAGUAACAGUCUAUGAAGAGAGAAGGAAUGCCAGGAGGCUUAAGGAAUUGGGAAAGAAAGGUUGGGGAUUCUUGAAAGAACUUCAGUUCAGAAUUGCUUCCAAGCUCUGCCUAGCUCUGGUAAUGUUUUCCUUAUUUGCCUGUGGAAGUGAGAAAAGCUGAAGGCAGAUUUCCUGUCCUAAGGAAGCUAGCUCCAAGACACAGACUUUUCUGCUCAGACAUCAGCUAAAAUUAAACUGUACAUGUUACAGCAUGGAUGAACUUUGAAAAUAUUAUGCUCAGGGAAAGAAGUCAGACACAGAAGGCCACAUUGUGUGAUUCCAUCUAUCUGGAAUGUCGAGAAUAGGCAAAUCCACAGACAGAAGAUAGAUGAGGGGUUAGCAGGGAGCUGGGGGAUGAGGGUAAUGAUGAGUGACCACUAAUGAGUACAGUUUCUUCGGGGGGUAAUGAAAAUAUUCUGGAACUAGACAGUAAUGACAGUUGGUGAGUAUGCCCCAAACCACUGAAUUGUACACUUUAAAUGGUACCACUUUAUAGUAUGAGAAUUAUAUUGUAAUAUUUUUUAAGGGGGGGGGGACCAAACUGCAGUCAGUACCUUGACCUCAGAGAGGAGGCUCCUGCUCUUUAGAGCAGUGGUCCUUCAAACACGGUCCCCAGACCAACAGGAUCAGCAUCACUGAGAAAUUACCAGAAAUGCAAAUACGCAGGCUCCAUCCCAGACCCACACAAUUAGAUGGGGCCCUAUAAUCUAUGCUUUGAGAAGCCCUCCGGGUGAACAUCAUGUAUGUUCUCAAGAACCAUUACUUUUCUCCUCUUUUUCUUUUUCAUGACCUUUUAAAAAUGUAAAAACCAUUCAGUUCCCAGGCACACCAAAACAGAUAAUAGGAGUUCCCACUGUGGUUCAGCAGAAAUGAACCUGACUAGUGUCCAUGAUGUGGGUUCAAUCCCUGGCCCGGCUUAGUGGGUUGAGGAUCCAGUGCUGCCAUGAGCUAUGGUGUAAGCCAGAACUGGCGUUGCUGUGCCUGUGGCGUAGGCCAGCAGCUGUAGCUCCGAUACUUAGACCCCCAGCCUGGAAACUUCCAUGUGCCGCACCUUCGGCCCUACAAUAAAUAAAUAAAUAAAUUUAAAAAACAGGUAACAGGGAGUUCCUGUCGUGGUGCAGUGGUUAACGAAUCCGACUAGGAACCAUCAGGUUGCGGGUUCGAUCCCUGCCCUUGCUCAGUGGGUUAAGGAUCUGGUGUUGCCGUGAGCUGUGGUGUAGGUUGCAGACGCAGCUCGGAUCCCACAUUGCUGUGGCUCUGGCGGAGGCUGGCGGCUACAGCUCCAAUUCGACCCCUAGCCUGGGAACCUCCAUUUGCCGUGGGAGAGGCCCAAGAAAUGGC
rnacentral:lncRNA from 1 species